rnacentral:rRNA from 1 species
CGAGUUAUCUGAACCUUCGGGGAACGAUAACGGCGUCGAGCGGCGGACGGGUGAGUAAUGCCUAGGAAAUUGCCUUGAUGUGGGGGAUAACCAUUGGAAACGAUGGCUAAUACCGCAUAAUGCCUACGGGCCAAAGAGGGGGACCUUCGGGCCUCUCGCGUCAAGAUAUGCCUAGGUGGGAUUAGCUAGUUGGUGAGGUAAUGGCUCACCAAGGCGACGAUCCCUAGCUGGUCUGAGAGGAUGAUCAGCCACACUGGAACUGAGACACGGUCCAGACUCCUACGGGAGGCAGCAGUGGGGAAUAUUGCACAAUGGGCGAAAGCCUGAUGCAGCCAUGCCGCGUGUAUGAAGAAGGCCUUCGGGUUGUAAAGUACUUUCAGUUGUGAGGAAGGGGGUGUCGUUAAUAGCGGCAUCUCUUGACGUUAGCAACAGAAGAAGCACCGGCUAACUCCGUGCCAGCAGCCGCGGUAAUACGGAGGGUGCGAGCGUUAAUCGGAAUUACUGGGCGUAAAGCGCAUGCAGGUGGUUCAUUAAGUCAGAUGUGAAAGCCCGGGGCUCAACCUCGGAACU